GAUGAACGCUGGCGGCGUGCCUAAUACAUGCAAGUCGAGCGAACAGGCGAGGAGCUUGCUCCUCUGACGUUAGCGGCGGACGGGUGAGUAACACGUGGAUAACCUACCUAUAAGACUGGGAUAACUUCGGGAAACCGGAGCUAAUACCGGAUAAUAUAUUGAACCGCAUGGUUCAAUAGUGAAAGACGGUUUUGCUGUCACUUAUAGAUGGAUCCGCGCCGCAUUAGCUAGUUGGUAAGGUAACGGCUUACCAAGGCAACGAUGCGUAGCCGACCUGAGAGGGUGAUCGGCCACACUGGAACUGAGACACGGUCCAGACUCCUACGGGAGGCAGCAGUAGGGAAUCUUCCGCAAUGGGCGAAAGCCUGACGGAGCAACGCCGCGUGAGUGAUGAAGGUCUUCGGAUCGUAAAACUCUGUUAUUAGGGAAGAACAAAUGUGUAAGUAACUAUGCACGUCUUGUCGGUACCUAAUCAGAAAGCCACGGCUAACUACGUG
rnacentral:rRNA from 1 species